rnacentral:tRNA from 1 species
GCAGUGGUGGCCGAUGUGGUUAAGGCGAUUGACUAGAAAUCAAUUGGGGUCUCCCCGCGUAGGUUCGAAUCCUACCACUGCG